rnacentral:rRNA from 1 species
GUGUCAGCCGCCGCGGUAAGACGAACCGUCCGAACGUUAUUCGGAAUCACUGGGCUUAAAGGGUGCGUAGGCGGCGCGGAAAGUUGGGUGUGAAAGCCCUCGGCUUAACCGAGGAAUUGCGCUCAAAACUGCCGUGCUCGAGGGAGAUAGAGGAGAGCGGAACUUAGGGUGGAGCGGUGAAAUGCGUUGAUAUCCUAGGGAACACCGGUGGCGAAAGCGGCUCUCUGGAUCUCUUCUGACGCUGAGGCACGAAAGCUAGGGUAGCAAACGGGAUUAGAUACCCCGGUAGUCCUAGCCGUAAACGAUGAGCACUGGAUUGGAGGGUCCUCCAUAGCCUUCCAGUCGCAGGGAAACUGUUGAGUGCUCCGCCUGGGGAGUAUGGUCGCAAGGCUGAA